UACGGAGGAUCCGAGCGUUAUCCGGAUUUAUUGGGUUUAAAGGGUGCGUAGGCGGCACUUUAAGUCAGGGGUGAAAGACGGCAGCUCAACUGUCGCAGUGCCCUUGAUACUGAAGUGCUUGAAUGCGGUUGAAGACGGCGGAAUGAGACAAGUAGCGGUGAAAUGCAUAGAUAUGUCUCAGAACACCGAUUGCGAAGGCAGCUGUCUAAGCCGUUAUUGACGCUGAUGCACGAAAGCGUGGGGAUCGAACAGGAUUAGAAACCCGGUAGUCC
rnacentral:rRNA from 1 species